CAUGCAUGUCUCAGUACAAGCCAAAAUAAGGUGAAACCGCGAAAGGCUCAUUAAAUCAGUUAUGGUUCCUUAGAUUGUACCAACAGUUACUUGGAUAACUGUGGUAAUUCUAGAGCUAAUACAUGCAAACAGAGCCCCGACCGGAGACGGGAGGGGUGCUUUUAUUAGAUGAAAACCAAUCGGCGGCGGGCGUACGUUUCGGCUGCGCCCGUCCGCCGACCAAAUCUGGUGACUCUGAAUAACUUUAUGCUGAUCGCACGGUCUCGAACCGGCGACGUAUCUUUCAAAUGUCUGCCUUAUCAACUGUCGAUGGUAGGAUCUGCGCCUACCAUGGUUGUAACGGGUAACGGGGAAUCAGGGUUCGAUUCCGGAGAGGGAGCCUGAGAAACGGCUACCACAUCCAAGGAAGGCAGCAGGCGCGCAAAUUACCCACUCCCGGCACGGGGAGGUAGUGACGAAAAAUAACGAUACGGGACUCAUCCGAGGCCCCGUAAUCGGAAUGAGUACACUUUAAAUCCUUUAACGAGGACCCAUUGGAGGGCAAGUCUGGUGCCAGCAGCCGCGGUAACUCCAGCUCCAAUAGCGUAUAUUAAAGUUGUUGCGGUUAAAAAGCUCGUAGUUGGAUUUGUGUCCCGCGCUGUCGGUUCACCGCCCGCGGUGCUCAACUGGCAUGUCUCGCGGGACGUAUUGCCGGUGGGUCGCGACCGUCCGGAUACCGCGGCGCGCCAGCCCGCCCCACGUCCGGCGGUGGAGACCGCGCGUCCGCGCCCGUCCCUCUCGUCCGUCCGCCACGCGGUCGCGACUUGGGGGCGUCGCGCGGGCGCGUAGGACCCCGUCCACGGCGGGGUGCGCGGGCCCGCGUCGUCGGCCCGGUGCGGUCCGGCCCGACUCACGAAUCCCGUCGCGGUGCUCUUGACUGAGUGUCGCAGCGGGCCGGCACGUUUACUUUGAACAAAUUAGAGUGCUCAAAGCAGGCCACAAGUUCGCCUGAAUAUUGUGUGCAUGGAAUAAUGGAACAGGACCUCGGUUCUAUUUUGUUGGUUUUCGGAACCCCGAGGUAAUGAUUAAUAGGGACAGACGGGGGCAUUCGUAUUGCGACGUUAGAGGUGAAAUUCUUGGAUCGUCGCAAGACGGACAGGAGCGAAAGCAUUUGCCAAGAAUGUUUUCAUUAAUCAAGAACGAAAGUCAGAGGUUCGAAGGCGAUCAGAUACCGCCCUAGUUCUGACCAUAAACGAUGCCAGCUAGCGAUCCGCCGACGUUCCUCCGAUGACUCGGCGGGCAGCUUCCGGGAAACCAAAGCUUUUGGGUUCCGGGGGAAGUAUGGUUGCAAAGCUGAAACUUAAAGGAAUUGACGGAAGGGCACCACCAGGAGUGGAGCCUGCGGCUUAAUUUGACUCAACACGGGAAACCUCACCAGGCCCAGACACCGGAAGGAUUGACAGAUUGAGAGCUCUUUCUUGAUUCGGUGGGUGGUGGUGCAUGGCCGUUCUUAGUUGGUGGAGUGAUUUGUCUGGUUAAUUCCGAUAACGAACGAGACUCUAGCCUGCUAACUAGGCGUUACUUUCCGGCAUCUCGAAGGCUCGCGUCUCCCGUUCGCCGGUGCGGGCGAGUGUCGCGUUGCGGCGCUUCGGCGUUUGCGCGCGCCUCGUUCGUCCGGUCGGGUGUUCGCGGUUUUUACUGCCGGCGUACAUAAUAAUCUUCUUAGAGGGACAGGCGGCUCCUAGUCGCACGAGGUAGAGCAAUAACAGGUCUGUGAUGCCCUUAGAUGUUUUGGGCCGCACGCGCGCUACACUGAAGGAAGCAGCGUGUCUUCCCUGGCCGAGCGGCCCGGGUAACCCGCUGAACCUCCUUCGUGCUAGGGAUUGGGGCUUGCAAUUGUUCCCCAUGAACGAGGAAUUCCCAGUAAGCGCGAGUCAUAAGCUCGCGUUGAUUACGUCCCUGCCCUUUGUACACACCGCCCGUCGCUACUACCGAUUGAAUGAUUUAGUGAGGUCUUCGGACCGGUACGCGGCGAGGUUUCGACGUCGCCGAUGUCGCUGGGAAGAUGACCAAACUUGAUCAUUUAGAGGA
rnacentral:rRNA from 1 species